CUGUCUACAAACUGGACUUCCAUGUCCUAACACAAACAUCCAGAAAUGCUGUACAAGAGAGCUCCCAGUGUGGAACUGGAAGUUAAACUGUCAGCUGAAGCCAUAGAAACACUGGAACCCCUGCCUGUCUUGGUAAUGCAAGGCUUGCAUUUUAAUGACCACGUAUGGAAUGAGAGAUGAGGCUUUGAUUCUAGACAGAGCAUUUUCAUGUGUUUGACAGAUGAAGCUGAACUUCCAGGUGUUUGAUGUUGAUACUAGGUUGGGUGCUAUGGUAUUUUCUCCAGCAUGUUUUGGUCAUUGUUCAUGGACCCACACUUCCAUCUCCCUCUCUGGGCCCUACUGACUAUAGGGGAAGAAUUGACUUGGCUGCACUGAAGGCCUACCCCUGGGAAUCAGGGAAUCUGAACAUGUAAGAUUGAAAGGAAUAAUGAAGAUGGCUUUAUAUCAUGAAUACAUGUGGACCAUAUCUCAUAGUUGAGCACACAUAAUCCAGUGUUCAAUAACUACUAGAUUAAUUCAACAUAUCUUGAAAAUGGAGUCAUUCAGACUUUUUAAGGGAAGUCUGUUUUACUUUUCCAGCUCUACUGAGUGUCUUCAGAGGAAGCCUGACAUCACUUCAUAUGCAGUUGCCCAUAAUUUAAGAAAGGUGUUUCAUACAAGGCUUACAAGUCCACUCUCUUAUUUAUUAGAAAAAAUCUGUACAACCUGGAGAAAUUUAGCAGUGUCUUGUUAUAGUUAA
rnacentral:lncRNA from 12 species